rnacentral:lncRNA from 1 species
AAUUUUGACUUAGUAAAAUUAAAGACUUCUCACUUUUUUUCGUGUGUAGUUGAAUGUGUUUGAUCGUCCGAACCAUCUCUAGGUGCAUAGGUCGUAGUUCCGACAUGUCCCAUUAGGACGUUCGGUAGGAUCCAGCAUAGCCGAUCAAAGUGAUCAGUGGCGUGCGCCCCGCUAAGGGUAGAACAAGCCUCGAUCACAGGUCGGCAUUCCGACCGCCGCACAGGCUGCUUAG